rnacentral:tRNA from 1 species
GCGAGGAUGGCGGAACUGGCAGACGCGCUAGUUUGAGGGGCUAGUGGGGUAACACUCGUGGGGGUUCAAGUCCCCCUCCUCGCA